UAGAGUUUGAUCAUGGCUCAGAAUCAACGCUGGCGACGCGCUUAACACAUGCAAGUCGAACGAGAAAGUGGAGCAAUCCAUGAGUAAAGUGGCGUACGGGUGAGUAACACGUGGGUAAUCUACCUCCUGGCGGGGAAUAACCCUGGGAAACCGGGGCUAAUACCGCAUAAGCUCGGAAGAGGAAACCCGAAAGGGACCGGGAGAGGAGCCCGCGGCCGAUUAGCUAGUUGGUGAGGUAAAGGCUCACCAAGGCGAUGAUCGGUAGCCGGCCUGAGAGGGCACACGGCCACACUGGCACUGAAACACGGGCCAGACUCCUACGGGAGGCAGCAGUGGGGAAUCUUGCACAAUGGGGGCAACCCUGAUGCAGCGACGCCGCGUGAGCGAUGAAGCCCUUCGGGGUGUAAAGCUCUUUCGGCCGGAACGAUGAUGACGGUACCGGCAGAAGAAGCUGCGGCUAACUACGUGCCAGCAGCCGCGGUAAUACGUAGGUAGCGAGCGUUGUUCGGAGUUACUGGGCGUAAAGAGUGCGUAGGCGGUGCUCUAAGUUUGGUGUGAAAUCUCCCGGCUCAACUGGGAGGGUGCGCCGAAAACUGGAGUGCUCGAGUGUGGGAGAGGUAAGCGGAAUUCCUGGUGUAGCGGUGAAAUGCGUAGAUAUCAGGAGGAACACCUGCGGUGUAGACGGCUUACUGGACCAUGACUGACGCUGAGGCACGAAAGCGUGGGGAGCAAACAGGAUUAGAUACCCUGGUAGUCCACGCC
rnacentral:rRNA from 1 species